UACAGAGGGUGCAAGCGUUGUUCGGAAUUACUGGGCGUAAAGCGCGUGUAGGCUGCAAUGUAAGUCGGAUGUGAAAGCCCUCAGCUUAACUGAGGAAGUGCAUCUGAUACUGCAUCGCUUGAGUGUCGGAGGGGAUGGCGGAAUUCCCGGUGUAGAGGUGAAAUUCGUAGAUAUCGGGAGGAACACCUGUGGCGAAGGCGGCCACCUGGACAGACACUGACGCUGAGACGGCGAAAAGCGUGGGGAGCAAACAGGG
rnacentral:rRNA from 1 species